CAGCCGCCGCGGUAAAACGUAGGUGGCAAGCGUUGUCCGGAAUUAUUGGGCGUAAAGGGCUCGCAGGCGGUUUCUUAAGUCUGAUGUGAAAGCCCCCGGCUCAACCGGGGAGGGUCAUUGGAAACUGGGAAACUUGAGUGCAGAAGAGGAGAGUGGAAUUCCACGUGUAGCGGUGAAAUGCGUAGAGAUGUGGAAGAACACCAGUGGCGAAGGCGACUCUCUGGUCUGUAACUGACGCUGAGGAGCGGAAGCGUGGGGAGCGAACAGGAUUAGAUACCCCUGUAGUCCCUGUCUCUUAUAC
rnacentral:rRNA from 1 species